AUUGAACGCUGGCGGCAGGCCUAACACAUGCAAGUCGAGCGGAGCGGCGGUCGGGGGAGUGAUGCCUAGGAAUCUGCCUGGGAGUGGUGGAUAACGUCCGGAAACGGGCACUAAUACCGCUUACUAUCAGAUGAGCCUAGGUCGGCUUAGCUAGUUGGUGGGGUAAAGGCCUACCAAGGCGACGAUCCGGAACCGGUCUGAGAGGAUGAUCAGUCAAACUGGAACUGAGACACGUUCCAGACUCCUACGGGAGGCAGCAGUGGGGAAUAUUGGACAAUGGGCGAAAGCCGGAUCCAGCCAUGCCGCGUGUGUGAAGAAGGUCUUCGGAUUGUAAAGUACUUUAAGUUGGGAGGCGUUACCAACAGAAUAAGCACCGGCUAACUUCGUGCCAGCAGCCGCGGUAAUUC
rnacentral:rRNA from 1 species